UGCAAAACACUGGAGACUGAAAUUUUCCAUUCAGCCAUAGAACAGGUACAGCAUUUUCCCACCAAUGUGCCUCAUCUCUGGCCAUGGAAGGCCCAUGUCUAGAGGUACAAGUGUGUAUUAAUUUCCACUGCCAGGAAGGGGCUAUC
rnacentral:sRNA from 1 species